AACCAACAGGGAUUGCCUCAGUAACGGCGAGUGAAGCGGCAAAAGCUCAAAUUUUAAAGCUGGCACCUUCGGUGUCCGCGUUGUAAUUUUGUGAGGCAUCUCCGGGUAGGGCGCCGGCCUAAGUUCCUUGGAACAGGACGUCAUAGAGGGUGAGAAUCCCGUGCUUGGCUGGCUGUCCCCGUCCAUGUGAGGUGUCUUCGACGAGUCGAGUUGUUUGGGAAUGCAGCUCAAAAUGGGUGGUAAAUUUCAUCUAAAGCUAAAUAUUGGUGGGAGACCGAUAGCGCACAAGUAGAGUGAUCGAAAGAUGAAAAGCACUUUGAAAAUAGAGUUAAAAAGUACGUGAAAUUGUUGAAAGGGAAGCGCUUGAGACCAGACUUCGGUGGGGAGUGAUCAGCUGUCCUUCUGGGCGGUGCACUUGCUCCCCUCCGGGCCAGCAUCGGUUGGGACGGCGGGAUAAAGGUCCCGGGAAUGUGGCUCCUCUCGGGGAGUGUUAUAGCCCGGGUGAAUGCCGCCAGCCCCGACCGAGGACCGCGCCUUCGGGCUAGGAUGCUUGGCAUAAUGGUCUUCAGCGACCCGUC
rnacentral:rRNA from 1 species